AACGGUACCACUCGCGAACGGGUUGAAAUGCUCCCGAGGCGGGAGGCGAGGGGCGUGCGUCGCCCUCAGUCCCCCGCUGGGUGUCCGGGGCGUGAUUGUGGCCUACGUGCAGCCUUGCGCCUCGGGCAACCCCUCAACAAUAACCCCGGCGUUGGACGCGCCAAGGAACUCAAACGAAUGUGUGUGGCCCCGGCGGAUCGGAGACGCUUCUAGCCUGGGGUCCCUACGUAAGCGAUGUACAAAACGACUCUCGGCAACGGAUAUCUCGGCUCUCGCAUCGAUGAAGAACGUAGCGAAAUGCGAUACUUGGUGUGAAUUGCAGAAUCCCGUGAACCAUCGAGUCUUUGAACGCAAGUUGCGCCCGAAGCCACUAGGCCAAGGGCACGUCUGCCUGGGUGUCACGCAUUGUCGCCCCGAACCACUUCGUCCCUGCGAUCGGUGGGGGCCGGCGAGGUGGUCGGGUGGAAUUUGGCCUCCCGCGAGCCACGCCUCGUGGAUGGUCGAAAAAGCAGCCUGUGGGGGGCAAUUGCCACGUUCCACGGUGGACGAGCAGAUGGCUCGAGACCGACCGUGCGCUUGUUGUUCCUACGGUUAGGCUGCCAGGCCCCAUGCGAGUGAGGAAGCUCUCUCGACGCGACCCCAGGUCAGGCGGGGCUACCCGCUUGGAUUUUAAGCAUAUC
rnacentral:rRNA from 1 species